AGGACGAACGCUGGCGGCGUGCUUAACACAUGCAAGUCGAGCGGUAAGGCCCUUUCGGGGGUACACGAGCGGCGAACGGGUGAGUAACACGUGGGUGACCUGCCCUUAGCUCCGGGAUAAGCCUGGGAAACUGGGUCUAAAUACCGGAUAUGACCUCAUGACGCAUGUUGUGGGGUGGAAAGCCUUGUGCGGCUAGGGAUGGGCCCGCGGCCUAUCAGCUUGUUGGUGGGGUGAUGGCCUACCAAGGCGACGACGGGUA
rnacentral:rRNA from 1 species